CAUCCCCCAUUCCUUCUCCAAAAUUUCAUUUUCCCAAAUUCAAACCCUAGUUCACCUCUUCCUCUCUUCGUGGAAGCCGAGAGGUUUCCCCACCGCCGCCGUUCUUCCGGCGCGAUCGCCGGACUCCGUCACUCUCUACUUUACUCUGGUUCUCCCCUCUCGAAUUUUCAACUUAGGUAGGAACCCUAGCUUGGGGUGAAACCGGAAUCCCCCCCUCUUCGCUGCCCGUCGACCACUACUCUGGGAGGCACCGACGCCUUGGCGGAAACCACCGACCGUCGGUUCACCUUCACGACGGUAGGGAUACGUCCGGCGACCGUUCGUGCCGUGCGCCCGCUGUCCGCCGUCUCCUCGCAUCACUCCACGGCGACCCGGCGCCGUCGAGCUGUCGUCGUCGUCGUUCACCCUCGGCAGAGGGGAAAGGAGCAGCAACCUCCUCCAAGUUCCGGUUCCGGUCGGGAGCUCCAUCGCCCGCCGCCGUAGCUAAGUCUUCUAACUUAGUUAGUUUACAAUUUCUCUGGUGGAGUUGGUUCUGAUUUCAUGGUUUAGAAAUAGGCAGCUUAUGGUGGUUCUUUGGUGAGAUUCGAACUAGAGCUAAAUCCGCAAUUCCUUAAGUUUAUUGUCUAGUUUUUAAUAUGCUAGUUCUUGCAGAUUUCUUUAAGGUAUUUGGAUGGUACUGUAACUGAUUCUGGAGCUACUAGUUGUUGCUAUUAUUCUUAUUGUGUCUCAGUUAUGGAGUAUUCUUGAUGAUGUUGCUAUAUGUGAUUACUUGCUGCAAUGAGUGAUGAUAUUUAAGUUCCAAGCUCACUCUCCCUAGUAUUCCAGUAUCUAUGCAUUUGUGAUGUCUAUGAUGCCUUCUAAAUGCAAGUGUUGGUGUUACCUCUUGUGAUUGAAGUGGAAAAGGGCUGUGAGUCUCUGGCCAACGUUGAAAACAGGCUCCCUGUUCUUAGCCUUGCUCCCCUUUCACUCCUCAACUUGCUACUUAGUUGAGUGAAUAUGUUGUGUGGUAGAGGGUGGAACCGAGGCAUGAAGUAUUUAUAGGGGUUGUAACUGAAAGCUGCAAGGUGGCUGUUUUGGUUGAGCAGAAAAAGAGUGUUCUUGGCCUGGGUUGUGUGGCUGUCCUUUAACUGCAUUUUGGCACUUUAUGAGUGCUUAGUACUUAGUCCAUUUAUGAGGUUCGUUUGUUUAUGGCAGGUGCACACAGAGGAAGGGAUUGUGCGGCUGAUCUCCUUGGCAGUGGCAGUUGUAAAAAGGAGAGUACGAGCUGCCAACUGCAGCCUUGCAGGGGUUGCAGCUGCUGGGGGUGGAGAGCCGGCUGGACUUGCUUCUUUCAGCCCAAGCACUUCCUCAUUUUUUGGAAAGGGACAGGGAGACUGAUCUCCUCUAGGCUGCCACCUCGUCGGUUCGGCCCAACGGGCAGUCGAAAAUCUUGGCCGAAACCCGUGCUAAAAGGGGCCCGAAGCUAGUAGUUCCAUUUGUAAUAGAAUAGUGUCUCUACUUUGAAGUUUUUCCCUUUCCUUUUCAUCAUGUAUGCGAAAAAUCUAUAGAAAUUAGUGUGUAAUUUGUUUCCUUUAUUUCCAUUAUCGAACAUUUGUAAUCUUGAAAUUUAUACACCGCAUUUCGUUUACUUAAGAAAUGAACAGAUGCACUUUCACUUCA